GGUUAGUGAUGUGCAGGGGGCACGGUAAAAUGGAGGGUGACAGGGUUAUGGGGAUGUAAUGGGGGUAAAGCGUGCGGAGUUGAGUGUUUAAGUCAGUUGGGAAAGCCCUGGGCUCAACCUGUGAAGUGUAGUGUAUAUGUGACGAAUAGAGUGUGGUAGAGGGUAGCUGAAUUCCUGGUGUAGCAGUGAAAUGCGUAGAGAUCAGGAGGAACAUCCAUGUCGAAGGCAGCUACCUGGACCAGCACUGACACUGAGGCACGAAAGCGUGGGGAGCAAACAGGAUUAGAUACCCUGGUAGUC
rnacentral:rRNA from 1 species